UCCGCCCCUCCCCCACCCUCAAAAUGAGGGGGGGGAGGGGCUCAGAGGCAGCGCUGGUGGGGGAGGGGCCCCAGAACUGGGAGGGAACUGGGAUGGACUGGUUUGAACUGGUUUGAAAUGGGACAAACUGGGAUUGAACUGGGAGGAACUGGGAGGGGAUUGGGACAAAUUCGGACAAACUGGGAUUGAACUGGUUUGAACUGGGAGAGAUUUGGAUUGAACUGGGAUGGACUGGGAUUGAACUGGUUUGAACUGGGAGGGACUGGGCUGGACUGGGAGGGACCGGGAUUGAACUGGGCUGAGAUAAUGGACACUGGGAUAGACUGGGAUUGAACUGGGAUGGACUGGUUUGAACUGGGAUGGGAGACAAUAGGAUACUGGUUUGAACUGGUUUGAACUGGGAUUGAACUGGGCCAGGAUAAUGGGCUGAGCUGGGAUUGAACUGGGUGGGGACUGGGAAAGGACAAUGGGAUGAACUGGGAUGGACUGGGGUUGAACUGGGACAAACUGGGAUGGACUGAAGGCACUGGGAGGGACCGGUUUGAACUGGUUUGAACUGGUUUGAACUGGGAGCUCUGGGGGCUCAAGGCCACACCGAGGUUUUUUCAAAAAACCUCAAAAAACGGCCCCAAAACAGCAGGGGAGGGGGCGGGGCCAGAGAGCCUGGGGGCGGGGCUGAGCACCAGGGGGCGGGGCCGGAGCACCAGGGGGCGGGGUUAUAGAGCCUGGGGGCGGGGCCAUAUGACCCAGGGGAGGGGCCAGAGUGCCUGGCACAGGUGGGGGAGGGGCACAGGUGGGACACAGGUGUGCCAGGUGUGCCCAGGUGUCCCCAGGUGUCCCAGGUGUCCCCAGGUGUCACUCGCGGAUGCUGGCCGAGUAGGAGAACUGUGGGAAAUGCGUCUGAUGGUCGCAGUCCGGGGAGUCCAGGAGCUCACCUGGGGACAGG
rnacentral:lncRNA from 1 species